CACUCCAUCUGCCAUCCAUUCUUUAUGCAUGCUUGUAGAUCACUAUGGGCUUGCAUGCAUGCACAUGCACAUAGGAUCAAGAAUCUGCUGGACCAGCAGCUAGCCAAUUAUUUGAGGGCUCUGCAGCACGCACAGGCUCAUCGAUGCUCAUUUUCGUUAUCAUCCCAGCAACCAACAGGCCAGGGACUUAGGAGGGUAUUAUCAACAUAUCAACAAGCAUUUUUUGCGACUGGUGUGUUGUGUCAUUGUGUGAGCAUGCAUGCAUGGUCUGUCUUGGGCGUGUCCGCUGCAAGGGGCACACGGCACACGGAUGAUCUUAAAACUAUAUGCCCGAGUAAUUAUUAACAAUAGUUAUCAAAUUUUCAAAUACAAAUGAAUGUGUACCCUCGAAUAAAUAGGCUUGUCUUACAAGCCUAUUAUCAUUUCAAGUGGUAUUUUACCUAACAUUUUACCAAACUCUUGGCAAAAGCGCCGCCUUUUCCAUAAGCAAAAAAAAAAAAAGGUCAUCAACGUUUCUUUGACUAUAAAGAUUCAGCAUCUUGCUGAACAAUAAUUCUCUUGGAUUCUCCUUUGGUCGUCGAUGAUUGUGAUAAGUCAUAUAUAGUGAAAUUCUUGCAUCUUCCCUAAUUUGAACCGUACCAUUGCACAAACUUGUCAAUGAAGGAAAACGUAUAAUGAAGUAAGUAGUAUGUACCGGUU
rnacentral:lncRNA from 1 species